GAUGAACGCUGGCGGCGUGCCUAAUACAUGCAAGUCGAGCGAACAGACGAGGAGCUUGCUCCUCUGACGUUAGCGGCGGACGGGUGAGUAACACGUGGAUAACCUACCUAUAAGACUGGGAUAACUUCGGGAAACCGGAGCUAAUACCGGAUAAUAUAUUGAACCGCAUGGUUCAAUAGUGAAAGACGGUUUUGCUGUCACUUAUAGAUGGAUCCGCGCCGCAUUAGCUAGUUGGUAAGGUAACGGCUUACCAAGGCGACGAUGCGUAGCCGACCUGAGAGGGUGAUCAGCCACACUGGAACUGAGACACGGUCCAGACUACUACGGGAGGCAGCAGUAGGGAAUCUUCCGCAAUGGGCGAAAGCCUGACGGAGCAACGCCGCGUGAGUGAUGAAGGUCUUCGGAUCGUAAAACUCUGUUAUUAGGGAAGAACAAAUGUGUAAGUAACUAUGCACGUCUUGACGGUACCUAAUCAGAAAGCCACGGCUAACUACGUG
rnacentral:rRNA from 1 species